UAAAGUAGGAGGAAGGUGGGGAUGACGUCAAGUCAUCAUGGCCCUUACGGCCUGGGCUACACACGUGCUACAAUGGUCGGUACAAAGGGUUGCCAAGCCGCGAGGUGGAGCUAAUCCCAUAAAACCGAUCGUAGUCCGGAUCGCAGUCUGCAACUCGACUGCGUGAAGUCGGAAUCGCUAGUAAUCGUGAAUCAGAAUGUCACGGUGAAUACGUUCCCGGGCCUU
rnacentral:rRNA from 1 species